GCGCGGCAGGACGGAAAGACCCCGGGACCUUUACUAUAGCUUGACAUUGGUACUCGAAUUAGUUUGUGUAGGAUAGGUGGGAGCCGGUGAAGUCCAUACGCCAGUAUGGGUGGAGGCAAUCUUGAAAUACCACUCUGGUUGAUUUGGGUAUCUAACUUCGGACCGUUAUCCGGUUCAGGGACAGUGUCUGGUGGGUAGUUUAACUGGGGCGGUUGCCUCCUAAAAGGUAACGGAGGCGCCCAAAGGUUCCCUCAGCCUGGUUGGCAAUCAGGUGUUGAGUGCAAGUACACAAGGGAGCUUGACUGUGAGACUGACAGGUCGAGCAGGGACGAAAGUCGGGACUAGUGAUCCGGCACUUGCGAGUGGAAGCGGUGUCGCUCAACGGAUAAAAGGUACCCCGGGGAUAACAGGCUGAUCUUCCCCAAGAGUCCAUAUCGACGGGAUGGUUUGGCACCUCGAUGUCGGCUCGUCGCAUCCUGGGGCUGUAGCAGGUCCCAAGGGUUGGGCUGUUCGCCCAUUAAAGCGGUACGCGAGCUGGGUUUAGAACGUCGUGAGACAGUUCGGUCCCUAUCCGCCGUGCGCGUAGGAUACUUGAGAAGGGCUGUCCCUAGUACGAGAGGACCGGGACGGACGAACCUCUGGUGUGCCAGUUGUCCUGCCAAGGGCACGGCUGGUUAGCUACGUUCGGAAGGGAUAACCGCUGAAAGCAUCUAAGCGGGAAGCCUGCUUCAAGAUGAGGUAUCCCACCCACCUUGGUGGGGUAAGGCCCCCAGCUAGACGACUGGGUUGAUAGGCCGGAAAUGUAAGCCCGGUAACGGGUUCAGUUGACCGGUACUAAUAGGCCGAGGACUUGACUAC
rnacentral:rRNA from 1 species